GAAAGAGAAAGAGACAAAAAUAACAGGGGAUUUAGAAUAAUUGGAGAUUGAUCAUUUGGUUCACUUCAAAGGGUGUCCAUAUCAUGAUAGCAGCUUUAUAAAGGUAGCAAAGGAAAGGUCCCAAAAAGCAAUCCCUCCAAAGCUCCUUGGAUUUCUCUAAGCCUCUCUCACUCUGUAAGUUGUAUUGGUAAAAACGAAAUCUUUACUUCUCAAACAA
rnacentral:misc_RNA from 1 species